rnacentral:tRNA from 2 species
GCCCUUAUAGCUUAAUCGGAUAGAGCAGAGGCUUGCGGAGCCUCAGAUCCCCGUUCGAUUCGGGGUAGGGGCACAA